rnacentral:rRNA from 1 species
GGGUUGUGAGGUUAAGCGACUAAGCGUACACGGUGGAUGCCCUGGCAGUCAGAGGCGAUGAAGGACGUGCUAAUCUGCGAUAAGCGUCGGUAAGGUGAUAUGAACCGUUAUAGCCGGCGAUUUCCGAAUGGGGAAACCCAGUGUGAUUCGUCACACUAUCGUUAACUGAAUACAUAGGUUAACGAAGCGAACCGGGGGAACUGAAACAUCUAAGUACCCCGAGGAAAAGAAAUCAACCGAGAUUCCCCCAGUAGCGGCGAGCGAACGGGGAGCAGCCCAGAGUCUGAAUCAGCUUGUGUGUUAGUGGAACGGUCUGGAAAGUCCGACGGUACAGGGUGAUAGUCCCGUACACCAAAAUGCACAGGUUGUGAACUCGAAGAGUAGGGCGGGACACGUGGUAUCCUGUCUGAAUAUGGGGGGACCAUCCUCCAAGGCUAAAUACUCCUGACUGACCGAUAGUGAACCAGUACCGUGAGGGAAAGGCGAAAAGAACCCCGGCGAGGGGAGUGAAAAAGAACCUGAAACCGUGUACGUACAAGCAGUGGGAGCCUCUUUAUGGGGUGACUGCGUACCUUUUGUAUAAUGGGUCAGCGACUUAUAUUCUGUAGCAAGGUUAACCGUAUAGGGGAGCCGAAGGGAAACCGAGUCUUAACUGGGCGUUAAGUUGCAGGGUAUAGACCCGAAACCCGGUGAUCUAGCCAUGGGCAGGUUGAAGGUUGGGUAACACUAACUGGAGGACCGAACCGACUAAUGUUGAAAAAUUAGCGGAUGACUUGUGGCUGGGGGUGAAAGGCCAAUCAAACCGGGAGAUAGCUGGUUCUCCCCGAAAGCUAUUUAGGUAGCGCCUCGUGAACUCAUCUUCGGGGGUAGAGCACUGUUUCGGCUAGGGGGUCAUCCCGACUUACCAACCCGAUGCAAACUGCGAAUACCGAAGAAUGUUAUCACGGGAGACACACGGCGGGUGCUAACGUCCGUCGUGAAGAGGGAAACAACCCAGACCGCCAGCUAAGGUCCCAAAGUCAUGGUUAAGUGGGAAACGAUGUGGGAAGGCACAGACAGCCAGGAUGUUGGCUUAGAAGCAGCCAUCAUUUAAAGAAAGCGUAAUAGCUCACUGGUCGAGUCGGCCUGCGCGGAAGAUGUAACGGGGCUAAACCAUGCACCGAAGCUGCGGCAGCGACACUAUGUGUUGUUGGGUAGGGGAGCGUUCUGUAAGCCGUUGAAGGUGUAUCGUGAGGUAUGCUGGAGGUAUCAGAAGUGCGAAUGCUGACAUAAGUAACGAUAAUGCGGGUGAAAAACCCGCACGCCGGAAGACCAAGGGUUCCUGUCCAACGUUAAUCGGGGCAGGGUGAGUCGACCCCUAAGGCGAGGCCGAAAGGCGUAGUCGAUGGGAAACAGGUUAAUAUUCCUGUACUUGGUGUUACUGCGAAGGGGGGACGGAGAAGGCUAUGUUAGCCGGGCGACGGUUGUCCCGGUUUAAGCAUGUAGGCGGAGGUUCCAGGUAAAUCCGGUACCUUUUAACGCUGAGGUGUGAUGACGAGGCACUACGGUGCUGAAGUAACAAAUGCCCUGCUUCCAGGAAAAGCCUCUAAGCAUCAGGUAACACGAAAUCGUACCCCAAACCGACACAGGUGGUCAGGUAGAGAAUACCAAGGCGCUUGAGAGAACUCGGGUGAAGGAACUAGGCAAAAUGGUGCCGUAACUUCGGGAGAAGGCACGCUGAUAUGUAGGUGAAGCGGUUUACCCGUGGAGCUGAAAUCAGUCGAAGAUACCAGCUGGCUGCAACUGUUUAUUAAAAACACAGCACUGUGCAAACACGAAAGUGGACGUAUACGGUGUGACGCCUGCCCGGUGCCGGAAGGUUAAUUGAUGGGGUUAUCCGUAAGGAGAAGCUCUUGAUCGAAGCCCCGGUAAACGGCGGCCGUAACUAUAACGGUCCUAAGGUAGCGAAAUUCCUUGUCGGGUAAGUUCCGACCUGCACGAAUGGCGUAAUGAUGGCCAGGCUGUCUCCACCCGAGACUCAGUGAAAUUGAACUCGCUGUGAAGAUGCAGUGUACCCGCGGCAAGACGGAAAGACCCCGUGAACCUUUACUAUAGCUUGACACUGAACACUGGUCCUUGAUGUGUAGGAUAGGUGGGAGGCUUUGAAGUGUGGACGCCAGUCUGCAUGGAGCCAUCCUUGAAAUACCACCCUUUAAUGGCUGGUGUUCUAACGUGGACCCGUUACCCGGGUUGCGGACAGUGUCUGGUGGGUAGUUUGACUGGGGCGGUCUCCUCCUAAAGAGUAACGGAGGAGCACGAAGGUUAGCUAAUCCUGGUCGGACAUCAGGAGGUUAGUGCAAAGGCAUAAGCUAGCUUGACUGCGAGAGUGACGGCUCGAGCAGGUGCGAAAGCAGGUCUUAGUGAUCCGGUGGUUCUGAAUGGAAGGGCCAUCGCUCAACGGAUAAAAGGUACUCCGGGGAUAACAGGCUGAUACCGCCCAAGAGUUCAUAUCGACGGCGGUGUUUGGCACCUCGAUGUCGGCUCAUCACAUCCUGGGGCUGAAGUAGGUCCCAAGGGUAUGGCUGUUCGCCAUUUAAAGUGGUACGCGAGCUGGGUUUAGAACGUCGUGAGACAGUUCGGUCCCUAUCUGCCGUGGGCGCUGGAGAAUUGAGGGGGGCUGCUCCUAGUACGAGAGGACCGGAGUGGACGCAUCACUGGUGUUCGGGUUGUCAUGCCAAUGGCAUUGCCCGGUAGCUAAAUGCGGAAGAGAUAAGUGCUGAAAGCAUCUAAGCACGAAACUUGCCCCGAGAUGAGUUCUCCCUGAGACUUUAAGUCUCCUGAAGGAACGUUGAAGACGACGACGUUGAUAGGUCGGGUGUGUAAGUGUAGUGAUACAUUGAGCUAACCGAUACUAAUGAACCGUGAGGCUUAACCUUACAACGCCGAAG